GGUCCUGGGAAUCUUGCCAGAUUGGAUUAGACCAAUCUAUAGGUUCAUUUUCAAGGGUCGAAAUGGGUCCAAGAGACGUACAAUUCACAUAGGGAAGAGCCAGAGGCUGGUAGCCAUUUAUCUCACAGAGAUGUUCUGCUAGCUGUCUUCUCAGUGGUCCCAUAGUGUCCUUUUCCAAGAUUGAGCCAUCAUAGUUCCUCCAUUCAUACUCAGAGUUGUGGGACCAAAGGAGUCCAUCAGGACUUCUGGAGAAUGACCUAUGCAUGAUAAACAUUGUCCUGAUAGUGGGCUGAGUUCUGAUGGGCCUUUUUUCAAUUCCAUGGACCUCUAUGAGUCGUUUGAGACUGUAUUGCCAUGCAGAGAUGGGCUUGAACCAUUCAAGGAACCUGAACAGUAGGGUUCUGUUUGUAUUGUUGAGAGUAUGUUGAUGUAGUGCUAAGAGGGGAAAUUCUAUACCUGUAGAGUAUAAAGUGACCAUACACCAUAGGAGCCAUAACUCCUCGAGAAUUAGAUCUCUGUCAGAAUGAAUGCUAAAGCAUUUUAAGAAAGGAUUGUCAGGGAUGAAGAGGGGAGUAAUCCCCUUAAAGUAUUUCUAGCACUCAAGUAGUGGAACAAGUGGUCUUUUGCAAACUGAGCUAUCUUUGGGAUGGGCUGGUUAGGAGAACAGCCAGGUGGAAAACUAUCUGGUGUGGGGAUGAGAAAACCAGGAGUAUUUGGAGAGGACGAGGAAGCCAUAAAAAUUAAAGGGAAUGUGAAGUGUGAUUUGAUGAGUUGAAGUUUCCUGGGCCUAGAUAGGAGAUCUGGAAUUAAGUUAUGCCUUCCCUUUAUGUGUUGGACUGUAAAUUUAUACUUGGCGAACCAGUCU
rnacentral:misc_RNA from 1 species